GCGGUAAGGCCUUUCGGGGUACACGAGCGGCGAACGGGUGAGUAACACGUGGGUGAUCUGCCCUGCACUUCGGGAUAAGCCUGGGAAACUGGGUCUAAUACCGGAUAUGACCUCCUAUCGCAUGGUGGGUGGUGGAAAGAUUUAUCGGUGCAGGAUGGGCCCGCGGCCUAUCAGCUUGUUGGUGGGGUAAUGGCCUACCAAGGCGACGACGGGUAGCCGACCUGAGAGGGUGACCGGCCACACUGGGACUGAGACACGGCCCAGACUCCUACGGGAGGCAGCAGUGGGGAAUAUUGCACAAUGGGCGAAAGCCUGAUGCAGCGACGCCGCGUGAGGGAUGACGGCCUUCGGGUUGUAAACCUCUUUCAGCAGGGACGAAGCGCAAGUGACGGUACCUGCAGAAGAAGCACCGGCUAACUACGUGCCAGCAGCCGCGGUAAUACGUAGGGUGCAAGCGUUGUCCGGAAUUACUGGGCGUAAAGAGUUCGUAGGCGGUUUGUCGCGUCGUUUGUGAAAACCAGCAGCUCAACUGCUGGCUUGCAGGCGAUACGGGCAGACUUGAGUACUGCAGGGGAGACUGGAAUUCCUGGUGUAGCGGUGAAAUGCGCAGAUAUCAGGAGGAACACCGGUGGCGAAGGCGGGUCUCUGGGCAGUAACUGACGCUGAGGAACGAAAGCGUGGGUAGCGAACAGGAUUAGAUACCCUGGUAGUCCACGCCGUAAACGGUGGGCGCUAGGUGUGGGUUCCUUCCACGGAAUCCGUGCCGUAGCUAACGCAUUAAGCGCCCCGCCUGGGGAGUA
rnacentral:rRNA from 1 species